rnacentral:rRNA from 1 species
AACGAACGCUGGCGGCAUGCCUAACACAUGCAAGUCGAACGAGACCUUCGGGUCUAGUGGCGCACGGGUGCGUAACGCGUGGGAACCUGCCCUUAGGUUCGGAAUAACUCCCCGAAAGGGGUGCUAAUACCGGAUAAUGUCUUCGGACCAAAGAUUUAUCGCCUUUGGAUGGGCCCGCGUUGGAUUAGCUAGUUGGUAGGGUAAAAGCCUACCAAGGCGACGAUCCAUAGCUGGUCUGAGAGGAUGAUCAGCCACACUGGGACUGAGACACGGCCCAGACUCCUACGGGAGGCAGCAGUGGGGAAUAUUGGAUAAUGGGCGAAAGCCUGAUCCAGCAAUGCCGCGUGAGUGAUGAAGGCCUUAGGGUUGUAAAGCUCUUUUACCCGGGAUGACAAUGACAGUACCGGGAGAAUAAGCUCCGGCUAACUCCGUG